UACGUAGGAUGCAAGCGUUGUCCGGAAUCAUUGGGCGUAAAGCGCGCGUAGGUGGCUUCGUAAGUCCGUUGUGAAAGUCAAAGGCUCAACCUUUGAAUGUCAGUGGAUACUGCCGGGCUAGAGUCCGGAAGAGGCGAGUGGAACUCCUGGUGUAGCGGUGGAAUGCGCAGAUAUCAGGAAGAACACCAACAGCGAAGGCAGCUCGCUAGGACGGUACUGACGCUGAGACGCGAAAGCGUGGGGAGCGAACAGG
rnacentral:rRNA from 1 species